AUAAUACUCCCUCCGUCCGGAAUUACUUGUCGUCAAAAUGGAUGUGUCUAGAACUAAAAUACAUCUAGAUACAUCCAUUUCAAUGACAAGUAUUUUCGUACGGAGGGAGUAGUAG
rnacentral:pre_miRNA from 1 species